UUCUUUUUUUUUUUUUUUUUUUUUUUUUUUUUUUUUUUUUUUUUUUUCUCUUUUUUUUUUUUUUUUUUUUUUUUUUUUUUUUUUUUUUUUUUUUUUUUUUUUUUUUUUUUUUUUUUUUUUUUUUUUUUUUUGUUAGUUGGAAGGUUUUUUUUUUUUUUUUUUUUUUUUUUUUAUUUUUUUUUUUUUAAUUUUUUAUAAACA